rnacentral:rRNA from 1 species
GUGAGGAAUAUUGGGCAAUGGGCGAAAGCCUGACCCAGCCACGCCGCGUGAGUGAUGAAGGCCUUCGGGUUGUAAAGCUCUGUGGGGAGGGAAGAAAAAGCGAGAGAGUAACUGCUCUCGUGUUGACGGUACCUCCUUAGCAAGCACCGGCUAACUCUGUGCCAGCAGCCGCGGUAAUACAGAGGGUGCAAACGUUGCUCGGAAUUACUGGGCGUAAAGCGCGUGUAGGCUGACAUGCAAGUCGGGUGUGAAAUCCCAGGGCUCAACCUUGGAACUGCACUCGAAACUGCACGUCAUGAGUACUGGAGAGGGAAGCGGAAUUCCGGGUGUAGAGGUGAAAUUCGUAGAUAUCCGGAGGAACACCAGUGGCGAAGGCGGCUUCCUGGACAGUAACUGACGCUGAGACGCGAAAGCGUGGGGAGCAAACAGGAUUAGAUACCCUUGUAGUCC